UGCGUAGGCGGUUUGGAAAGUCAGGUGUGAAAGCCUACAGCUUAACUGUAGAACUGCACUUGAAACUUCCAGACUAGAAUACUGAGGGGGCAGAUGGAAUUAGUGGUGUAGGGGUAAAAUCCGUAGAUAUCACUAGGAAUACCGAAAGCGAAAGCGAUCUGCUGGGAAGUUAUUGACGCUGAGGCACGAAAGCGUGGGGAGCAAACG
rnacentral:rRNA from 1 species